rnacentral:lncRNA from 1 species
UUACCAAUAUCCCUAAUAUCAACCUCUCAAUUUCCCUCAUUUCUCUCAAAUCACACCUUUAUUGUGUGUUACUAUAUGCAAUUUCUCUCAAAUCACAAUUUUUGUGUUUGCAAUUUUUCUCAAAUCACACUUUUAUGCGUGUUAUUGUGUGCAAUUUUUUGAAAAAUCGCACUUUCUUUGUGUGUAAUUAUUCUCAAAUCACACCUUCUCUAUGUGUUACUAAUUUGCAAUUAUUCUCAAAACACACGUUCACUGUGUGUUACUGUGAUUUGAAUGAGAACUUUCUAUUUCAUCUUCUUAUUUUAUCGUUUUCACACUGGCGAUUGAUUUCUUGGGCAAUGUUUUGGUAUUUGGGUUUUGUCAUCUACUUAACUUUGAGCUCGUUCUUUAACAUAGGUUUACGAAUUAGCUAGUGUGAGCUUGUGUUUGGAAGAAUUGGAACUUUGUUUAGAGCCACCACCCAUAACAUCAUGGUGGUUGUGAAUUUUGAUAUAUAGCUUAUUUGAAAUCUUUGUUGCAAUGGAAGUCUGAAGCAAUAGCAGAUAUGCUGUCUUCUUUGUCCUAAUUUUUCUCAUGUGAGGUUCGGAUUCGAAAGUUUCGUUUUUGUCAACAUCUCCUCCACCUUCACCACUGUCUAUGUCGGAGUUGAAUCCUUAAAGAGUUUUUUGCGGUGGUUGAAAUUGUUGUGAGAUGACAAAAAUGUCCUUAGAGGAGCUGUGUGGUGGCAGAAACAUGUCAAAUGAUAAAAGUGCCUUUUGGCCUAAGCUGGC